CGCGCGAUACAGGGUGACAGCCCCGUACACAAAAAUGCACAUGCUGUGAGCUCGAUGAGUAGGGCGGGACACGUGGUAUCCUGUCUGAAUAUGGGGGGACCAUCCUCCAAGGCUAAAUACUCCUGACUGACCGAUAGUGAACCAGUACCGUGAGGGAAAGGCGAAAAGAACCCCGGCGAGGGGAGUGAAAAAGAACCUGAAACCGUGUACGUACAAGCAGUGGGAGCACGCUUAGGCGUGUGACUGCGUACCUUUUGUAUAAUGGGUCAGCGACUUAUAUUCUGUAGCAAGGUUAACCGAAUAGGGGAGCCGAAGGGAAACCGAGUCUUAACUGGGCGUUAAGUUGCAGGGUAUAGACCCGAAACCCGGUGAUCUAGCCAUGGGCAGGUUGAAGGUUGGGUAACACUAACUGGAGGACCGAACCGACUAAUGUUGAAAAAUUAGCGGAUGACUUGUGGCUGGGGGUGAAAGGCCAAUCAAACCGGGAGAUAGCUGGUUCUCCCCGAAAGCU
rnacentral:rRNA from 1 species